GAACCUGAAACCGUGUACGUACAAGCAGUAGGAGCACCUUCGUGGUGUGACUGCGUACCUUUUGUAUAAUGGGUCAGCGACUUAUAUUCAGUGGCAAGGUUAACCGUAUAGGGGAGCCGUAGCGAAAGCGAGUCUUAACUGGGCGCUCAGUCUCUGGAUAUAGACCCGAAACCGGGUGAUCUAGCCAUGGGCAGGUUGAAGGUUGAGUAACAUCAACUGGAGGACCGAACCGACUAAUGUUGAAAAAUUAGCGGAUGACUUGUGGCUAGGGGUGAAAGGCCAAUCAAACUCGGAGAUAGCUGGUUCUCCCCGAAAGCUAUUUAGGUAGCGCCUCGGACGAAUACUACUGGGGGUAG
rnacentral:rRNA from 1 species